rfam:Echinostoma caproni strain Egypt genome assembly, scaffold: ECPE_scaffold0000053
GGCCUCGUACCUCAGCUGGUAGAGCAUGCGCGUACAAAGUGUGGGCGGUGUCCAUGCGUGAGUUCGAAUCCCACCGAGGCUA